rnacentral:rRNA from 1 species
AGUGAACGCUGGCGGUAGGCCUAACACAUGCAAGUCGAACGGCAGCACAGGAGAGCUUGCUCUCUGGGUGGCGAGUGGCGGACGGGUGAGGAAUACAUCGGAAUCUACCUUUUCGUGGGGGAUAACGUAGGGAAACUUACGCUAAUACCGCAUACGACCUUCGGGUGAAAGCAGGGGACCUUCGGGCCUUGCGCGGAUAGAUGAGCCGAUGUCGGAUUAGCUAGUUGGCGGGGUAAAGGCCCACCAAGGCGACGAUCCGUAGCGGGUAUGAGAGGAUGAGCAGCCACACUGGAACUGAGACACGGGCCAGACUCCUACGGGAGGCAGCAGUGGGGAAUAUUGGACAAUGGGCGCAAGCCUGAUCCAGCCAUACCGCGUGGGUGAAGAAGGCCUUCGGGUUGUAAAGCCCUUUUGUUGGGAAAGAAAAGCAACCAGUUAAUACCCGGUUGUUCUGACGGUACCCAAAGAAUAAGCACCGGCUAACUUCGUGCCAGCCGCCGCAGUAAUAC